GCACUGUUGAAGAGUCCCAUACUAGGACGAAACGGCCGUCCAGUGC
rfam:Schistosoma margrebowiei strain Zambia genome assembly, scaffold: SMRZ_contig0001050